rnacentral:lncRNA from 10 species
GAGGAAAGCGGCGGCGGUGGCGGCUUCAACAGCAGCUCUUGCCCUUAAGGAACAAUGAAACACAAAGAUGGUGCAGACCCAGGCCCUGCUUUGACUGGGAGAAAGAUGCAUUCAGUUGACUAAAACUUGAACAGGGCAGUUUACUUCUAUAGAAGGGUGCACCCUCACAGAUGGACCAAUGUGUCAGGAGAAUUCAGUCACACCCAAAGCAGGAGGUAAUAAGACACCGAAGUGAGGACUUCACAGGCUGCUUGGGAGAAGACAAUCAUCCGUGGGCUUGGGAAAGGGAGAAAUGCCUACUGAGUUUAGGGAAUUGCUUGCUGGAAGAAAUGAUGGCUUGGUGGCAUGCAUGUUUAGUCCCAGCUACACAGCAGGGAGGCUGAGGCUGAAGGAAUACUUGAGCCCAGGAAUUCAAGACUAGCCUGCACAACAUAGUGAGACCCUGACUUUAAAAUAAAUUUAAAAAAAUUAAAAGCAACAAGACUUUCUGCUUGUAUAUGAUGAUGUUAGUAUGCUGACUUACAAGGUUAGAUCAUUUUGAUAUGUGUGAUGUAGGUUUUCAAAGCUGGCACUGUUUUAUGCUUCAAAUAUUAUUUUUAUUCAUUGGUUCUCAUGGGAUUUCAUCACUAAGCUGUAAAUCAAUAAUCAUAAUGUUGAGGGGAGGGGAUUACAAAAUAGCUCUUCAAAAUCAUCUUUGCAUUUCUCAAUAAACAGCAUUCCCUUUUGGACUACAGUGAAAAAUAUUGAGCUUUGUUUACUUUGAAAAUGAGUCUUAGUCUAUGAAUGCCUGGGUAGGGUCAAGAAUGAAAAAUGAGAGGAAGAGAGAAGCAUCAGGAAGAUAAAAUGAUCAAUCUCACAAA